UCUCGAUUGGUCUAGUGGCUAGGAUACCUGCUUGUCAUCCGGAUGAUGAAUAGUCAUCUCUUGGCAAGGCGCAGGUGGCCGGGGUUCGAUUCCCCGAUCGAGAG